CCCUUAGACGUUCUGGGCCGCACGCGCGCUACACUGACCAGUGCAACAAGCAUCCGUCCUUGGCCGACAGGCCCGGGCAAUCUUUGAGCGCUGGUCGUGAUGGGGAUAGACUUUUGCAAUUUUUGGUCUUCAACGAGGAAUUCCUAGUAAACGCAAGUCAUCAACUUGCAUUGAUUACGUCCCUGCCCUUUGUACACACCGCCCGUCGCACCUACCGAUUGAAUGGUCCGGUGAAGCCUCCGGAUUGGCGCGCACCUCGGUGCCGCCGAGAAGUUGGCUAAACCUUACCAUUUAGAGGAAGGUGAAGUCGUAACA
rnacentral:rRNA from 1 species